UGAACACAGGCAGUCAGUCAUCCCUUUGGCGUGGGACAUGUUAUUUCUAACAUGAGCAACUGUCGACCUCAAAGCCAGGUGAAACCUGAGAACCAAAACAUAAGCCUGUCAUGACAUUAGGAUGCAAACUAAGGAUAUGUCUCGGGGAGAAAAGACUGGGAGAGAAGGAGACUCGGCAGCUUCAGUUUAUCUUGACAAAUACCAGCUGCAGAGGGUCACUUUAAAGAACUGGCCUUCAGGGGCUUUCCUGCUUUUAGGAGUCAAUGUAAUGCAGCAGCUCUGACAGAGCGAAGCAACACCCCACUGGCCUUGAAGAAAGCAACCAGGAAAGGCUGUUUGGACUGAGGCCCAUUCCUCCCAAUGAUUCCAGCAGACUUUAUGUUGAUACUUCGGCCUGUAAAAAACAGGAGAAGGUGAGGCUGACUUCACUUGCCAUCCACAGUCUCCACGCAGAGCUGCAGGCCCAGGUUCUGCUGCGGGUUCAUCACCCAGUGGUUACUGGUGGCCGUGAUGUCAAACACAAGCCAGCCCCCAUCGGAUGCCUGGACCUUUUUGGAGUCGAGCAGGAACGUCUCUGCAUCUCUGAAGGGAGAGCCGCCAGGAUGAGACCACGGACGGGACUGGUGUGACGUUUUGAUGAGGAAAUUUAAAAAGCAGCCGAUAGCAGUUAGCAGCUAACUCCAAGAAGAAGAACAGCAACCGAAAAAUGCCAGCGAAUUGGGGAGACAAGAAGGUCCAGGAGCUCCUUACCCUCCAGGCAGAGGACGAGAUCAGCUGCCAUAUGACAUGGACAGCAAAGGAUUCUCACUGACUUAGUCUUUACUUCCGGGAUGCCAACAUGCUGUCUAAAAUAACACGAUGGGGCAGCAUUAUGCCUGCAUUGUUUGAUUCUGUAUGGAAGAGCAAAGGUGGCUUAAUGAAGGGACUUCGCUUGAUCUCUGUGUAAAAACAGACACAUACAGAGCAGCUUCUCUUCCAUGAAGUCCGCCAUUUUUUUCUACAGUAGCCCAGAAUGGACAAACCAAACACUGGCUCUAGAUAGGGCCAUACCCGUUUUCGCAUCGGCCAGAGUAGCAUGUUUGGCACAAAGGGAGAUGUCUCGGUUCUGCAACCUCACCGCUAGAUGCCAGUAAAACCUACACACUAGACCUUUAAAUCAUAUUGUUUUAAAUACAGCUGUACUCAGGAUUUGAGUUUUAAAAAAUGGCUACAUUAUUUAAUUUUGAUGCAUUUAACAUGUAUUUUAUUGUUUAUCAUUGACCAUCAUUGUUGCUACAAAUGCAACAAUGACAGAUCUGCCUAAUUGCUCACAAAUGUGCCUGUUUAUUUUAAAUGGUCUAUUUGUGCCAUUGUUUCACAAUAAAAAAGGGUGUUACAUCUCAUUAACAAUUACAAUAAAAGGAAGAAAUGUGCAGAAUACAGUAUUCAUCUUUCCCACGCUGUUAUCAUUACAUUAAAUAUACUAUAUCUGCAUCAAUGGUCAAGGAAGUGCAUACUAUAUAGUCUUCUGCAGAGCAAAUUACAACACAGCACAAUUAUGAUUUAUUACAAAUGCAACAUUUUUGGCUCAUAAUGUGCCAAUUGAGACAAAUAAAACAGCGAUUAAUAAGACCUUGUGGAGAAAUAGGCUAAUUUUUGCCAAGGAUUUAUUAUCCACAGAGUCAAGCAUGUCUCUCAGGGGGCA